GACGAACGCUGGCGGCGUGCUUAACACAUGCAAGUCGAACGGAAAGGCCCUGCUUGCAGGGUCCUCGAGUGGCGAACGGGUGAGUAACACGUGGGUGAACUGCCCUGCACCUCGGGAUAAGCUUGGGAAACGGGGUCUAAUACCGGAAAGGCACCAGCUCUAGUGUGGGGGUUGGAAAGAUUUUUCGGUGUAGGAUGAGUUCGCGGCCUAUCAGCUUGUUGGUGGGGUAAUGGCCUACCAAGGCGGCGACGGGUAGCCGGCCUGAGAGGGUGUACGGCCACAUUGGGACUGAGGGGCGGCCCCGACUCCGACGCGUGGCAGCAGUGGGGAAGAUUGCCCAAUCGGCGCCAGCCUGAUGCAGCGACGCCGCGCGUUGGAUGAAGGCCUUCGGGUUGUAAACUCCUUUCGCUAGGGACGAAGCUUUGUUGUGACGGUACCUAGAUAAGAAGCCCCGGCUAACUACGUG
rnacentral:rRNA from 1 species